rnacentral:rRNA from 1 species
AUAUCAAUAAGCGGAGGAAAAGAAACUAACAAGGAUUCCCCUAGUAACUGCGAGUGAAGCGGGAAAAGCUCAAAUUUAAAAUCUGGCAGAUGCUUGUCUGUCCGAGUUGUAACCUAGAGAAGUGUAACCUGUGCUGGACCAUGUACAAGUCUCCUGGAAUGGAGCAUCAUAGAGGGUGAGAAUCCCGUCUUUGACAUGGACUACCAGUGCACUGUGGUUGUGCACUCGACGAGUCGAGUUGUUUGGGAAUGCAGCUCUAAAUGGGUGGUAAAUUCCAUCUAAAGCUAAAUAUUGGCGAGAGACCGAUAGCGAACAAGUACCGUGAGGGAAAGAUGAAAAGAACUUUGGAAAGAGAGUUAAACAGUAUGUGAAAUUGUUGAAAGGGAAACGCUUGAAGUCAGCUGCAUUGGCUGGGGAUCAAGCCAGCUUAUUUGCUGGCUGUACUUCCUGGUUGAUGGGCCAACAUCAAUUUUGCCCCUCGGAUAAUGGCAGGGGAAAGGUGGCACCUUUGCGGGUGUGUUAUAGUCUCCCGUCGCAUGCGAGGGGUGGGAUUGAGGAACUCAGCACGCGCCUCUCGGCUCGGGGCUUCGGCCCACGUUACGUGCUUAGGAUGUUGGCGUAAUGGCUCUAAACGA